ensembl:lncRNA
CCGGCCUGCCGCGCUCAGAGGCUUUUAUUAAGGUUGCACAGGCACGCCUGGUCGGAGGCCGACUUGACAGGAAUGCGAGCGUGUGCCCGCGCGGCGGCUGGCCCGGCCCGGCAGAUCGUCUUACACCCGGGCUGGUGCUCGUGACCUCGGUCCUGCAGGCCCCGCCCUCCGCAGCCUCGGGGAACCAAUAACCAGGGCGGUCCACCUUAACACACUCAGUGCACGGGGCGGUCCACCUUAACGCGCUGAGAACCCGGGCGGUCCACCUUAAGGGGCUACCGACCCCCUAACCCGCUGCCCCCCUAAAGUUCCUGUGUCCCGGAGCAGGAAGAAGGGUGGCUGGACUCCCGCGAGACUGUUUGCUGGGAAAUGAGAAAGCCGCGAAAGCAUUGCACUUCGUUAAAAACCAUUCCUUCGGACUCUGGGGAAGUAGACGGACGGACGCUCUCUCCGGACAGAGGACGCUUUCUGUCCGUGUGUUCGCGGAGCCUUAGGGCCCAGGGAGGCCGGAGAACCAGAGCCCCUACCCUGACUGGCCUCCGGCCACCGGCCGAGCCCAGGGGCUGCACCUGGCCCCCUGCCCACACAGUCCUGGCGGAGCCCCUGUCCCUGCAGCGAGGGGCGGGCGGCCGGUCACUGCCCAGGCUCCUGCAGGAGCUGUCCACACCCGCGGGCCCUCAGGAGGAGGACAGGCUCUGCGGGCUUCCCGUGGGCACCGGGCCGGGACAUACGGAGCGUGCUCAUCUCGGCCCCGCCUGAGUGCGGGUGGGAGUGGGGUUUCAUUGCCUCCACCCAGCCGGGUGCAGAAGCUCAGGGGCAGCAGUGAGGCCUGGGCCUGCAGGGAGAAGCCUGAGGUGAGGCGGGACAGCUCCAGGAAGGGAGGCCGCCAGCCCUUCCCAGUGAGCAGCUGCUUCCCGCAUGCACAGAGGCGCAGUGGGGACAGCCCUGCAGCCUGUCCUAAGAGCGAGACUCUUGCCUGUGCAGCACAGUGACUGCAAGCGUCCUGUCUGUAGGCUGCUCAGCACCGUCUGUUCUCUUCGUUCCAGCAGCCCAGGAUGUGGAGAGGUGCCUUCCCUGCUAUCUAUAGGGAAACUGAGGCACAGAACCUACUGCUCCUAACUCCCAGUGCAAACCUGUCACUGCUUGGCCCUGAGAACUUUUCCCUUCCAAAGGAAAGAAAAGGAGAUAUGGGAAUUUCCUGAGGGCAACAUAAAUACCCAAGAAAGGAAAGCCUGAAAUACAAGAUAAAAAUCAAGGUGGACUCUGGGCAUGGUGGCACAGGCCUGUAAUCCCAGAGGAAGGCUGAGGCAGGAGGGUCCCAAGUUCAAGGCCAGCCUGGACAACUUUGCCACUCAGGGACACCCUGUCUCAAAUUUUUCCUAAAAAGGACUGGGAAUGUAGCUCCAUGCGAAGGCCCUGGGUUCAUUCUGCCCACACCCUUCACCCCACUCAGACAGAGAGCAAAAGAGAAACUGACUUAUUUCUUUGCCAGAAAAGCAGAAACCAUGACACUGGAAGUACUAGUGUCAACCUGGAAAAAAGUCUGAAGGCUGAUUUUGAGCAAUCGGGAAACACGGAGAUACUUGGCGGCCAUGCUGAGGAGCAGAGGAAGGGCAGGAGGCCGGGGCUGGGGAGGGGCCAGCCUGCGUCACAGGAGGCUGUGUUGCUACUCGGGAUGCUGUGCAGCAGCCCAGGGUGUGGGCAGGAUGGGAGGACCAUCGCAGGCUGCUUGUUCUUCACUCCUCUGAAAGGCUCUAAGUGAUUCCACCCUCCUGAGUUCCAGAGACUGCAUCCUCUGGACGGCCGGGCUCUGGGCUGGGGAAUGAGGCUAUGAGGUUCUGGACUCCCAUGCUCACACAGCCCUGUAAAUGCCUCGGAGCGGCUCUCCCUGCAGCUUUCCAGGCCCUCCCCCAGCCUCUCCGAGCCGAGCCCACUCUCGGGUUUCUUUCUGUUUCUGUCUGCGAUCGCCCCCUCCGCUGUGAGCUCUUGCAUGAUCUCCCUCUUUAGGCAUGGAUUCCCCAGCGCUUUGUCUGACAGGGCAGGAGAAUGGAUGAGGGAAAGGGCCGAUGAUUGCAGGCCGCCAACGCUGGUUUCGUUGGUGCUGUUGCCUGGGGUCUGCAGAGGAGAGGCUGGGGGUGAAGAAAACUUAUCCUGAAGAAGCCAGGUACGCGAACAUAGUACAACAAUGACACAUAAUGUUUUUUAAUCCUUCACAAAUUUUUUCAUUUACUGUUUUCAGAACCCUUAUGGAUAUGUAUUGUUUUUGCCAUUUUGCAGAGGAAAAACCCAGGGCAUGGGGGGAUGAAAUGUGUAAGCCCCGUGGCCUUUGCUGUGGCAGAGCAGGAAUCUGACCCCUGAUGGAUCCACGGUCUCAUCCCACUGAGGAUAGAGCUUGAAGGAGCUCUUGCGCUCAGGAGAGCAAACAGCUCUUAGAAUGCAGAGACAGGGACUGCAGGGCACCUAGAGCCCUGUAACGAAGCUUGGCCUCCAGUUCAUGCUACGCUCUUCCAGAAGAGAGCUGAAAUGAAGCCGCAAUGCCCGGUGUAGCUGUCCCACCCGCUCCCCGCCAGACAGUGUGCUCACGCUCAGCUCAGUCCUCUCCCAGUGGUCAGUCCCAUACCGCACAGCCUGUCCAGACAUCAGCGACACCCCCUGCUCUCCAGCACGAUGGACCAGGAUACAGCAAAGCAGGGUUUACUUCCCAAACCCCACCGGCACUGAGAUGCAGCAAAACACAUGCUUUUUGGCAAGUGAUCUCUUUCGCGUGGAUGAGAGGGCCGUGGUCCCUGCUCGGACCGGGAACAGACACCGCCAGAGCCCACGGCUGGCGUGGGCGGGAAGGUCACUGGGCCCAUGCAGUUGUACACAGGCUGCUCUCCGAGUGGGCCUGUGUCUGUCCCUCAGCCCCAGAGCCCUGCUGGCGUGUGGAGGCCGUGGCUUGGGCCUGCGAUCGAAUCGCUUCCCAUUGUUCUCAGCGCCCAGAACCCAAAACCUAGCCGCUGCCCCACCCCCUAGAGGUGCCAGGGCUGGCCCUGCCUGCCCAGGUCUGCUUUCUGGCGAAUCCCAGGAAGUACGCAGGCUGGAGGGAAUCCGGCAUCCCAGCACAGUGGGCUCGGGCAGGGCUGAGCAGCCUUCCCGGAGCAUGUCAGAAGGGCCCUGCUGAUUCUGCACUGGACACAGCUCCUGCAAGCACAGUCAGAGGAGGAGGCAGCGGACGAGUGCCAGCGUGGAGAGAGACCGCCCCAGGCCAGCCACACUGGGGACGAUGAACACACAGGACAGACUCCGAGCUUGGCCACCCACCGGCGCUUUCUCCCCUCCCCACAGAGAUCUGGCUUCCUAGAUGAGAGAAAAAUGCGAAGGCUCUGCCUUAACUUUCCCAACUUCAGAAGAGCUUGUAUUUUAGAUAUCGCUAAAAACUCAAUAGCUGCUUCAGGGAACAGCUGGAUCUAUCAUGUGGUGGGUUCCGGGUCUUGGUGUUAGAGUCAGAGGCUUGUGGCAUCCUCGACUCUGGGGACAGAAGGACCAUGCGUGCAGUCCACUUAAAACGGCCCCUGAAGUAAGAUCCCGAGCGUUUCCAGCUCGCCACAGUUUGUCUCUCUCCCGCUUCCCACCAGGUCAGUGGGCCCAGGCUGCUUCGUCUUCACUUCCUUGGUCAGCUCUCUUCUUGGCUGCCAUGUGUGGGACGGUGUGAGACAAGGCAGUUACUCCGAGCUCAGUCUCCGCUUCUGUAGAAUGCAGGUAGUAGGAGGGUUCCAGCUCUCCGGGUGCCGGGAAGAUGAGGGAGCUAGUGGACAUGAAGCCCUGAGCGGGGCUGGUGUGGCUCCAGGCCUCUGCUCGGUCUCUGCAUGUGUGUUGCUUCUUGUGCUCCAAUGUGGUCUUGCUUUUCACCUUGUCUAACUGAAUUUUAUGACCUCCCCUUUCUAACCCUAUUCCUUGUCAUAUCAUCCUCUUAAAUGUGUAAGACCAUUUUUGAGCCUCUUUUUAAAAAUCACACAUUGAAGAAGCACAGUUUACAAUGGGAAGUUGGCCAUGUCUACUAGGAGCUGCAUCUCAGAGAGACUUUAAUGUUCUUCGCUUCGGCCUCGGUGCCCCUGCACCUGGAACAGUGAGUGCCUGGCACACAGUAGGCACUGAAUAAAUAUUUGGUGAGUGAAUGAAAUGAUUUGGGAACACUCUGCAGAAGCCAGAGAAACAUCUAGUGGACAGAGACUCAUAAGCCGGUCCCACUGGUAGUGAGAAUCUCAUGUCCUGGGAGCCAUGGGAGAAACGCGAUGUCAUUUAGCUUCAUCUCCGUGACUGUGACCCCGCUCAUUUCCAGGCAGUUUAGCCAGAUGACUUUAUAUUCAAGAACUUCUUCUAUGGCUGGAUGUGCUGCAUAUUAUCGUUCCAUGCUGUUUCCUGGGAGAUAAUGUGUUUGCUCGGAUGCAAUGAAAAUGAGCUAAAACAUUUGUAUUAAUCUUAUAAGAAACAUGCAGUUUGGGAUGACUUGUGAAUAUGUAAAGGAAAACUUAUUUUAUCUAUUUUUUCCAAAUCCAAUUUUAUUCCUUUACAGGCUCUAAUCAGAUUAAGAAUUCGGCAAUUAAAUUAAGACAUAAAUUCCAGUGGUGUUAAAAUAAAUGCAGGUGUUCAACCCACAUUGUCCGGCCCAACGCAGCACCAUCUCGUGUCCCGUGGAAAGCGGCCCCCACUUUGGGAAACACCUCUUGGUACUGUGGAAAACAGAGCUGCGCUCUCAGCACACCAGCAGCCCUCCCGAAAGAAUGGUGUUGCUGAUCAUUUACAUCACGCCCCAGAGGAGGAUGGCUUCCUUCCCACCUGAGGUCGGAUAUGCAGGCAACACUUUGCAGCAAGGUUCGGCUCGUUGAUUGACCGGAGAAGUCCAUUGCUCCUCUCUUACUUCUGGCAAUGGGAAGAGCGUGAAUUUGUUUAGUGGCUGAAGAGCAAACCCUUUCUAGUCUUGCAUUUGGAAGAUGGACGGGGAGUAGUAAACCCAUUUCUUCUCAAGAGCUGCAUUCCCUGUGGAGAACUUACAUUCCUUCCUCAAGCCCUGCAAAACACCAUAAAGCCACAUUAGCUCAAAAGAGGGGAAGGAGGGUUAAUAUUUACAGGAGCAGUUAGGCAUCAAUUACCCUCAGUUUAAUGACAGCAAGCAUGUGUUGAGUACUCGUGUUAUAUACAGGACCACGCUAAUCACUGUACUCGCAUUAUCUCAUCUGUUACAACCAUCAAAACAACCCAACAUGCAGGAAUUUUAUUACCAUCAUUUUACAGAGGAAAGGCCAGAUCAGAGAAGUUUCAGGCAGUUCUCAGCCCAGGGUCUUUGGACUCCAAACCUGAAGCUUUUGGUCAUUGUGUGUUUGCAGACUCUCAGCCUUUGCAAAUCAUCUGUUCCUUCAGACCCUGAACCUGACGCCUCUUCUUGAUUUUACAAUACAUUCCCUCAGUUAUUAACCUAAUACAAAUACAGGACUUGAUAGCCAAUUAGGCAAGAGGAAAGCCCCAAGAGUUGAAAAUGAAAGCUACCCCCAAAAGUGAAGAAUUAUAGUACAUUACCUACCGCUUACUACAGGUAGAGCAACUUACAUACGCUUUUUCACACCUAACCUAAGACAAGCAUUUCUUACCCAUUUCACAGAUGAAGGAACUGAAGCUUUAGAAAUAAGAGAUUCUUUAGAAAUAAGAGAUUCUGAGCUUCUACAGAACAAGUAGCAUUCUCACCAGGCCAUCUGACUCAAAGGCCCCAUUGUCUCAAAAGAUUGCCAAGGAAAAUCCUCUCAAAUACAUAAAAACUCAACUUCCAGGUGUCACAUGGGCAUUGAAAACCAGCUGUGUCUUCAUCUGACCCGGUGACCUCUGUCCGCCAUGUCCCAGGUCAGCCACACCGGCCUCAGCUCAUCUCAGGCGGCCCCGGGCGGGAGGGGGGAUCUGACUCACGCUCUGGACAGGACCUCUGCAGAGACGCUUCACCCCGACCUAGAGCCCCAUAAAGCCGCACGGGCGUGGCCCUCGAGACUCCAGCUCCGUUGGUCUGGGGUUUGGCCCAAACACUGGUGUUUGUACAAGCAUGUCAGGUUCUGGUGCAUGGCUGUCAUUGACAGUCAGGGACUUUAAUGGAAAGUACAACCAAGAGAAAAUGUUGUGAAAAUACUUUAAAUCGUUCAUUACAAAGAAAUAAAAAGUAAAUGUACUUGGAUAUGCCUGAUAUAUUUCUGGAGAGUUUUUAAUUGUAGGAUUAUAA